UACGGAGGAUCCAAGCGUUAUCCGGAAUCAUUGGGUUUAAAGGGUCCGUAGGCGGGUCAAUAAGUCAGUGGUGAAAGUCUGCAGCUCAACUGUAGAAUUGCCAUUGAUACUGUCUAUCUUGAAUUACUGUGAAGUGGUUAGAAUAUGUAGUGUAGCGGUGAAAUGCUUAGAUAUUACAUAGAAUACCGAUUGCGAAGGCAGAUCACUAAUAAUUCACUGACGCUGAUGGACGAAAGCGUAGGUAGCGAACAGG
rnacentral:misc_RNA from 1 species